GACGAACGCUGGCGGCGUGCCUAAUACAUGCAAGUAGAACGCAGUUGCGAACGGGUGAGUAACUCGUAGGUAACUGCCUGGUAGCGGGGGAUAACUAUUAGAAACGAUAGCUAAUACCGCAUACUACAAGGUGGAACUGCGUUUUAUUAGCUAGUUGGUGGGGUAACGGCUCACCAAGGCAACGGUACAUAGCCGACCUGGGAGGGUGGUCGGCCACACUUGGACUGGGACACGGCCCAGACUCCCUAGGGGGGCAGCAGUAGGGAAUUUUUGGCAAUGGACGGAAGUCUGACCGAGCAACGGCGCGUGAGUGAAGAAGGUUUUCGGAUCGUAAAGCUCUUUUGUAAGAGAAGCGGUAUCUUACCAGAAAGGGACGGCUAACUACGUGCCAGCAGCCGCGGUAAUAC
rnacentral:rRNA from 1 species